GCCCCGGUAGUGUAAUGGCGUAGAGCAUUCCCGUCCGGUAAGCAGGAGGUGCGGGUUCGAGUCUCGUCUGGCGCU
rfam:Heligmosomoides polygyrus genome assembly, scaffold: HPBE_scaffold0001385